rnacentral:rRNA from 1 species
AUGAAGGCGAAGCGGGAGGUGGACGUGGAGUACAUCCGCUCCGUGGCGGCGCUCAUGGCACGACGCGGGCGGCCGCACUUCGCGGUGGCGCCCGCCUACCUUGUGUCGGACGUGACCAAGGUCGGAAUCCGUGACCUCGACUUCGGGGCCUCGAAUUCUGCCGGCUCGGCCCUGGUUGGCGCCAUCCCAGGCGUCACCAGCUUCUUCAUCGCUGUGAGGGACGACAUGGGCGAGGAGGGCAUCACGGUGCCGGUUUGCAUGCCUGGCCCCACCAUGGACAAGUUCGUCGAGGAGAUGGGCAAGCUCACGCAGCCCACACUGGGCGACUCAUUUCAGAUGGUCAGAUCUGCAAUCUGA